UAUUUAUAUAAGACGAGAAGACCCCAUGGAGCUUCAAACCCAAUUACACCCCNNAUCGGAAGAACCACUUAUNCCCCCCGGCCGCGUGUAAUUGGUUUUCGGUUGGGGCGACCACGGAGUAUAAUCAAACCUCCAUGAUGAACGGAAUUACCCUUAUCUGAGAGUAACAGCUCUAAGAAAUAGAACACUAACAUAGAAUGAUCCAUUAUAUGAUCAACGAACCAAGUUACCCUGGGGAUAACAGCGCAAUCCAUUUCAAGAGCCCCU
rnacentral:rRNA from 1 species